CGCCUCUUGCAAUCAAUGAAUAAGAGGUCCCGCCUGCCCUGUGACUAUAUGUUUAACGGCUGCGGUAUUCUGACCGUGCAAAGGUAGCGCAAUCACUUGCCCUUUAAAUGGGGGCCCGUAUGAAUGGCACAACGAGGGCCUAACUGUCUCCUCUUUAAAGUCAAUGAAAUUGAUCUCUCCGUGCAGAAGCGGGGAUAAAAACAUAAGACGAGAAGACCCUAUGGAGCUUUAGACACAAAACAGAUCACGUCAAACACCUACAAAUAAGUAAUAAACCAAAUGAUUACUGUUCAAAUGUCUUUGGUUGGGGCGACCGCGGGGUAACAAAAAACCCCCACAUGGAAUGAAAGCACUUUCAAAACCAAGAGCUACCGCUCUAAUAAGCAGAACAUCUGACCACCAGAUCCGGCCUAGCCGAUCAACGAACCGAGUUACCCUAGGGAUAACAGCGCAAUCUUCUUUUAGAGCCCAUAUCGACAAGAAGGUUUACGACCUCGAUGUUGGAUCAGGACAUCCUAAUGGUGCAGCUGCUAUUAAGGGUUCGUUUGUUCAACGAUGAAAGUCCU
rnacentral:rRNA from 1 species